UUGGGGGCCAUUGUCCCAAGGAGAGGAGGAAAAUCGGUCAAAAGGGUAAAGAGGGAUGAGAGAUGAAUGGAAAUGAAGAGGAGAAGAGGAUUUCGGGUUGAUUGUCAUGGGUUUUACAAGUUAGAGCUUGAGAUUAUGAUGGAGAGCAAGAGGGUAUGCCGAGAGAGAGGGUUUGCUCUAGGGUUUAAGAUGGAGAUCCAAGAUUUUGGGUGGUUAACGGGAUGGAUUUGUGGGAUUAUGGUCGGUGGAGAGCUUGGAGAAGGGUUUCGGUAUG
rnacentral:lncRNA from 1 species